AGAGUUUGAUCCUGGCUCAAUUGAACGCUGGCGGAAUGCUUUACACAUGCAAGUCGAACGGCAGCACGGGAGCUUGCUCCUGGUGGCGAGUGGCGAACGGGUGAGUAAUGCGUCGGAACGUACCGAGUAAUGGGGGAUAACGCAGCGAAAGCUGUGCUAAUACCGCAUACGCCCUGAGGGGGAAAGCAGGGGAUCGCAAGACCUUGCGUUAUUCGAGCGGCCGACGUCUGAUUAGCUAGUUGGUGGGGUAAAGGCCUACCAAGGCGACGAUCAGUAGCGGGUCUGAGAGGAUGAUCCGCCACACUGGAACUGAGACACGGUCCAGACUCCUACGGGAGGCAGCAGUGGGGAAUUUUGGACAAUGGGGGAAACCCUGAUCCAGCCAUUCCGCGUGAGUGAAGAAGGCCUUCGGGUUGUAAAGCUCUUUCAGCUGGAAAGAAACGGUGCGCUCUAACAUAGCGUGCUAAUGACGGUACCAGCAGAAGAAGCACCGGCUAACUACGUGCCAGCAGCCGCGGUAAUACGUAGGGUGCGAGCGUUAAUCGGAAUUACUGGGCGUAAAGCGUGCGCAGGCGGAUUGUUAAGCAAGAUGUGAAAUCCCCGGGCUUAACCUGGGAAUGGCAUUUUGAACUGGCAGUCUAGAGUGCGUCAGAGGGGGGUGGAAUUCCACGUGUAGCAGUGAAAUGCGUAGAUAUGUGGAGGAACACCAAUGGCGAAGGCAGCCCCCUGGGAUGACACUGACGCUCAUGUACGAAAGCGUGGGUAGCAAACAGGAUUAGAUACCCUGGUAGUCG
rnacentral:rRNA from 1 species